rnacentral:rRNA from 1 species
GCGAGCGGCGGAUGGGUGAGUAACACGUGGGGAACCUGCCCCUAAGUCUGGGAUACCAUUUGGAAACAGGUGCUAAUACCGGAUAAUAAAGCAGAUCGCAUGAUCAGCUUUUGAAAGGCGGCGUAAGCUGUCGCUAAGGGAUGGCCCCGCGGUGCAUUAGCUAGUUGGUAAGGUAACGGCUUACCAAGGCGACGAUGCAUAGCCGAGUUGAGAGACUGAUCGGCCACAUUGGGACUGAGACACGGCCCAAACUCCUACGGGAGGCAGCAGUAGGGAAUCUUCCACAAUGGACGCAAGUCUGAUGGAGCAACGCCGCGUGAGUGAAGAAGGUUUUCGGAUCGUAAAGCUCUGUUGUUGGUGAAGAAGGAUAGAGGUAGUAACUGGCCUUUAUUUGACGGUAAUCAACCAGAAAGUCACGGCUAACUACGUGCCAGCAGCCGCGGUAAUACGUAGGUGGCAAGCGUUGUCCGGAUUUAUUGGGCGUAAAGCGAGCGCAGGCGGAAAAAUAAGUCUAAUGUGAAAGCCCUCGGCUUAACCGAGGAACUGCAUCGGAAACUGUUUUUCUUGAGUGCAGAAGAGGAGAGUGGAACUCCAUGUGUAGCGGUGGAAUGCGUAGAUAUAUGGAAGAACGCCAGUGGCGAAGGCGGCUCUCUGGUCUGCAACUGACGCUGAGGCUCGAAAGCAUGGGUAGCGAACAGGAUUAGAUACCCUGGUAGUCCAUGCCCGUAAACGAUGA